GAUGAACGCUGGCGGCGUGCUUAACACAUGCAAGUCGAACGGAAAGGCUCCUGCUUGCAGGGGUACUCGAGUGGCGAACGGGUGAGUAACACGUGGGUGAUCUGCCCUGCACUUCGGGAUAAGCCUGGGAAACUGGGUCUAAUACCGGAUAGGACGAUGGUUUGGAUGCCAUUGUGGAAAGUUUUUCGGUGUGGGAUGAGCUCGCGGCCUAUCAGCUUGUUGGUGGGGUAAUGGCCUACCAAGGCGUCGACGGGUAGCCGGCAUGAGAGGGUGUACGGCCACAUUGGGACUGAGAUACGGCCCAGACGCCUACGGGAGGCAGCAGUGGGGAGUAUUGCACAAUGGGCGCAAGCCUGAUGCAGCGACGCCGCGUGGGGGAUGACGGCCUUCGGGUUGUAAACUCCUUUCGCUAGGGACGAAGCGCAAGUGACGGUACCUGGAGAAGAAGCACCGGCUAACUACGUG
rnacentral:rRNA from 1 species